rnacentral:rRNA from 1 species
CCUACGGGAGGCAGCAGUGAGGAAUAUUGGUCAAUGGACGAGAGUCUGAACCAGCCAAGUAGCGUGAAGGAUGACUGCCCGAUGGGUUGUAAACUGCUUUUAUAGGGGAAUAAAAUGUUACACGUGUGGGAUUUUGUAUGUACCAUAUGAAUAAGGAUCGGCUAACUCCGUGCCAGCAGCCGCGGUAAUACGGAGGAUCCGAGCGUUAUCCGGAUUUAUUGGGUUUAAAGGGAGCGUAGGUGGGUUGUUAAGUCAGUUGUGAAAGUUUGCGGCUCAACCGUAAAAUGGCAGUUGAAACUGGCAGUCUUGAGUACAGUAGAGGUGGGCGGAAUUCGUGGUGUAGCGGUGAAAUGCUUAGAUAUCACGAAGAACUCCGAUUGCGAAGGCAGUUCACUGGACUGCAACUGACACUGAGGCUCGAAAGUGUGGGUAUCAAACAGGAUUAGAUACCCCAGUAGUC